AAUGAACGCUGGCGGCGUGCCUAAUACAUGCAAGUCGAGCGGACGGACGAGAAGCUCUCUUCUCUGCUGUUAGCGGCGGACGGGUGAGUAACACGUGGAUAACCUACCUAUAAGACUAGGGUAAGUUCGGGAGACCGGAGACAAUACCCGAUAAUAUUUUGAACGGCAUGGUUCAACGGUGCAAGCCGGUCUUGCUGACCCUAGUAGAGAGUUCCGAGGUGCAUUAGCUAGUUGGUAAGGUAACGGCGUACCAAGGCAACGAUGCGUAGCCGAUCUGAGAGGGUGAUCGGCCACACUGGAACUGAGACACGGUCCAGACUCCUACGGGAGGCAGCAGUGGGGAAUAUUCCACAAUGGGCGAAAGCCUGACCGAGCAACGCCGCGUGAGUGAAGAAGGUCUUCGGAUCGUAAAGCUCUGUUAUUAGGGAAGAACAUAUGUGUAAUUAAAUGUGCCCGUCUUGACGGUACCUAAAGAGAAAGCAACGGCUAACUACGUG
rnacentral:rRNA from 1 species